rfam:Ciona savignyi cont_45358, whole genome shotgun sequence.
UACCUGGUUGAUCCUGCCAGUAGUCAUAUGCUUGUCUCAAAGAUUAAGCCAUGCAAGUCUAAGUACGAGCUCUCGUACAGUGAAACUGCGAAUGGCUCAUUAAAUCAGUUAUGGUUCAUUUGAUCGUACAGUUUACUUGGAUAACUGUGGUAAUUCUAGAGCUAAUACAUGCGAGAAGCGCCGACCUCGCGGGAGGCGUGCAUUUAUCAGACCAAAAACCGGCCGCGUCUUCGGGCGCGUUCGCCUUGGUGACUCUGGAUAACUUUGCGGAUCGCACGGUCUAGCACCGGCGACGGAUCAUUCAAGUGUCUGCCCUAUCAACUUUCGUCGGUACGGUAUUUGCCUACCGAGGUUCUUACGGGUGAC